AGCGGCGGAUGGGUGAGUAACACGUGGGGAACCUGCCCCUAAGUCUGGGAUACCAUUUGGAAACAGGUGCUAAUACCGGAUAAUAAAGCAGAUCGCAUGAUCAGCUUUUGAAAGGCGGCGUAAGCUGUCGCUAAGGGAUGGCCCCGCGGUGCAUUAGCUAGUUGGUAAGGUAACGGCUUACCAAGGCAAUGAUGCAUAGCCGAGUUGAGAGACUGAUCGGCCACAUUGAGACUGAGACACGGCCCAAACUCCUACGGGAGGCAGCAGUAGGGAAUCUUCCACAAUGGACGAAAGUCUGAUGGAGCAACGCCGCGUGAGUGAAGAAGGGUUUCGGCUCGUAAAGCUCUGUUGGUAGUGAAGAAAGAUAGAGGUAGCAACUGACCUUUAUUUGACGGUAAUUACUUAGAAAGUCACGGCUAACUACGUGCCAGCAGCCGCGGUAAUACGUAGGUGGCAAGCGUUGUCCGGAUUUAUUGGGCGUAAAGCGAGUGCAGGCGGUUCAAUAAGUCUGAUGUGAAAGCCUUCGGCUCAACCGGAGAAUUGCAUCAGAAACUGUUGAACUUGAGUGCAGAAGAGGAGAGUGGAACUCCAUGUGUAGCGGUGGAAUGCGUAGAUAUAUGGAAGAACACCAGUGGCGAAGGCGGCUCUCUGGUCUGCAACUGACGCUGAGGCUCGAAAGCAUGGGUAGCGAACAGGAUUAGAUACCCUGGUAGUCCAUGCCGUAAACGAUGAGUGCUAAGUGU
rnacentral:rRNA from 1 species